AUAGCUGUGCUAAGGUAGCGCAAUCAAUUGUCCCUUAAUUGAGGAAUGGUAUGAAUGGCUGUACGUGAGAUAAGCUGUCUCUAUUAUAAUAGCAUGAAAUUUUCCUUUAAGUGAAAAGACUUAGAUUUUUUUAAAAGACGAGAAGACCCUAUCGAACUUAAUAGUUUUUAAAAAUAAUAAUUUAAAAAGAAGUUUUACUGGGGCAGUAAGAAGAAAAAAAUAAUUCUUCCUUAGAAAAAAGAUCCCUUAUUAAGGACAAAAGAAAAAGUUACCGUAGGGAUAACAGCGUUAUCGUUUUUAAGAGAACUAAUCGAAGAAACGGUUUGCGACCUCGAUGUUGGAUUUAAAUUUCUUCCUUGGCGCAGUAGUUUGGAAAGUAGGUCUGUUCGCCCUU
rnacentral:rRNA from 1 species